AUGGCCAGCAACCAAUGGAUUGCGAAUAUUGACAGCUCCAAUGGCCUCUCCCUUGAACACAUCCAACAGUUUGCUAACCUUUGGGACAAACUAGCAACAGUGGCCCUCGAUGACGACGUUGAAGACUCAAUUAUUUGGAAGUUCACCAAAGAUGGGAUAUAUUCUGCAUCCUCGGCUUACAAGGCUCAGUUUGAAGGCCUCACCACCUCGGACCUUGUCCAUUUGGUGUGGACGGUGUGGGCGCCCCCUCGGUGCAAGUUUUUUGCUUGGCUCGUUCUUCAAGAUAGGAUUUGGACUUCGGACCGCUUGAGCCGCCGUGGUUGGCCUAAUUGCGGUCUAUGCCCUCUUUGCAAGCAAACCCAAGAAACCGCGGCUCAUCUGCUUUUCCAGUGCCGCUACACCAUGCGCAUUUGA
rnacentral:rRNA from 1 species